CCUUUCUCUGUUAAGAACGGGUUUUCUGGGUUGGGUUCGUGUUUUGCAGUAACGAGGACGCCGUGAGCGGACUCGCUUGUGCGUCCCUUGGUGCCUCUGUUUGUUCCCCGAGAGGAUGUUAUGGGAUUGCGCCCCACGCUCAGUCCCCGCCCGCCCUGGCCCUGGUUCUGGGCGGAGGCGCCCGGCUCACGUGGCCGCCCCUGAUGAAGCCUGUGUUGGUAGGGACAUCUGAGAGCGCUGAUGAAUGCCAACGGCUCUGAUGGCGGCUCGGGCCCGGAGCCGCGUGCCGCAGUGCGGCGUGCUGAACGCGCUCCGAGCCCGGUGGGUCGGGGCCCGAGCAGGUGCAUCAGCCUGUGCCUUUCCUCCGGAGUCCCCCGGCCUGUGCCUGCCUUCCAGGAGUCCCCCCGCCUGUCCUUUUCUUCCAAGAGUCUCCUGGCCUGUCCCCGGCCUCCGGGGGUCCCCCCCUCCUGUCCUUGUCGUCCGGCUUGUCCCCGUCCGACCGGGGUCCCCCGGCCUGUCCCUGUCCUUGUCCUCCGGCAGUCUCCCAACCUGUCCUCUAGGACUCCCCCAGCCUGUCCCUGUCCUCCGGGAGUCCCCCCUCCUGUCCCUGUCUUCCGGGGGUCCCCCAGCCUGUCCCUGUCUUCCAGGAGGCCCAGCAGAUGGGGAUGCAGCGCGCCUGGACAGGCCUCGCGGACAAGUUCCGUGCCAGUGCCAAGGACCAGGAGAAAAUGAGGUCUUGGCCGUGUGUCCGCAGCUGAGGGGUCUCUGGAGCCAUGCGGCUGACGGGGUGCUAACGCCAGAAGCUGGGACUGGAAAAUGGUGAGGCCUUGCUUUUGCCUGGAGCGGCUGUCACUCGUCGUCUACCUGUUGCUUCCUGUGGAUUGCUGAGGCUGUGGGUAAUGAGAAGUGUGGCAUCGAGGGGUGUGGGCCUCCAGCACGGGGGAUGCGGUCCACGGAAGUGACUCUUGGCAGGUGCAGAGCCUGGAUCCUGCUUGCAGGUGUGUGUCUCUGCAGAUUUGGGUGGUUUGAGAGGAAGAGGCUGUUGAUGAUGUACAUUAACAGAUGGGAAUCUCUCUGAAAGGGGAUGAGGACUCCAUUCUACACUGAAACAGUGGCAGAGAGCUUUCAGAAAAUGUCAGUUAACUGCCUGCUGCUAAGUUUGCCUACAUUUUUGCAGGUCUGACACGUGAGCUUGGCACAUGCAGGACCAGGUCUUGAAGCACAGGAACAAGGAGGGACAUUUGGAGAAGCUAAUGGAUUUGUGUGCCCCUACCGUGGAGACAUGAAGGUCUUCUGUGACUGCCCUGAGAUGCCACCCCCAGGAAAGGUGAGGGCCAGAACAAACAUCCAUUCUAAACACCAGAAUACAUGAUGAUCUCACCCACGCUUGAACUCUCUCACUGACAACCUGAUGGAGAGGCUAACAGAUCUGAUAUUCUGGCCAGCAGUCGCUAGCAUGGCUGUGUGCAUCUGCUGUGUGGUUGAUGGUCUGUCUUUCUUGCAGGGAGCUGUUGCAUGCUUGUGGGAGAGAUGGCGAACAUCUGAAAUAGCAAUAAAUUUUUGCAAACAA